rnacentral:SRP_RNA from 1 species
GCUGGGCACGGUGGCGCGUGCCUGUAAUCCCAGCUACUCAGGAGGCUGAGGUGGGAGAGUUGCUUGAACCCAGGAGGCGGAGGUUGCAGUGAGCGGAGAUCGCGCCAUUGCACUCCAGCCUGGGUAACAAGAGCGAAACUCCAUCUCAA